rnacentral:lncRNA from 1 species
AGGACCUCCUGGAUUCAAGCAAUACUCUCAUCUCAGCUUCCUGAAUAGCUGGGACCAUAGCACAAGCCCUGUAAGAAUGUGAGAGCACUCAAGCAUGUUGGCUACUGGAAUAAACAUUUGUGACUACAACCCACAAAACAAUCUGCACAUGGCUAAUCAAGAGAAGACUGCAUUUUCCUAUUUUUGUUUAUAUCAUAGCAGUAGAACAUUGUGCAUUAAAUCUAUAGUGAUGAUAAACUGCCCGUUGGGAUUUUCUUCAUUCUUGUAAUCACCCUUAGGACGCAAAAAAAUCCCGUAAAUUUGCACUUUUUGAAUUCUGUUGUGGGAAAUGCUGCAAUUAGGUGCUAUUGAACCAAUCUUUGAAAAUUAAAAAAGCUGUA